UUUCCGGUUGAUCCCGCCGGACCUGACUGCUAUCGGAUUGAUACUAAGCCAUGCGAGUCUUUGUAGUAAUACAAGGCAGACGGCUCAGUAACACGUAGUCAACCUACCCUAUGGACAAGAAUAAUCUCGGGAAACUGGGCAUAAUUCUUGAUAGAUCAUAAUGCCUGGAAUGGUUUAUGGUUAAAAUGAUUCGUCGCCAUAGGAUGGGACUGCGGCCUAUCAGCUUGUUGGUGAGGUAAUGGCCCACCAAGGCGAUUACAGGUACGGGCUCUGAGAGGAGAAGCCCGGAGAUGGGUACUGAGACACGGACCCAGGCCCUAUGGGGCGCAGCAGGCGAGAAAACUUUGCAAUGUGCGAAAGCACGACAAGGUUAAUCCGAGUGAUUUCUGCUAAAGAAAUCUUUUGCCAGUCAUAAAACCACUGGUGAAUAAGGGGUGGGCAAGUUCUGGUGUCAGCCGCCGCGGUAAAACCAGCACCUCAAGUGGUCAGGAUGAUUAUUGGGCCUAAAGCAUCCGUAGCCGGCUUUGUUAGUUUUCGGUUAAAUCCAUGUGCUCAACGCAUGGGCUGCCGAAAAUACUGCAUGGCUAGGGAGUGGGAGAGGUAGACGGUACUCAGUAGGAAGGGGUAAAAUCCUUUGAUCUAUUGAUGACCACCUGUGGCGAAGGCGGUCUACCAGAACACGUUCGACGGUGAGGGAUGAAAGCUGGGGGAGCAAACCGGAUUAGAUACCCGGGUAGUCCCAGCUGUAAACGAUGCAGACUCGAUGAUGCAUUGGCAUAAUAGCCAGUGCAGUGUCGCAGGGAAGCCGUUAAGUCUGCCGCCUGGGAAGUACGUACGCAAGUAUGAAACUUAAAGGAAUUGGCGGGGGAGCACCACAAGGGGUGAAGCCUGCGGUUCAAUUGGAUUCAACGCCGGG
rnacentral:rRNA from 1 species